rnacentral:misc_RNA from 1 species
GGAUCAGAUGUGGGGAGUUGUGUCUAGGGUUCCCCCAUUUUAGCUGUGCGAUUCAAUGCAAUCAAGCAGAAGAAUCCUUGCUCUUUAAUACACUGGUUUCGGAGGUGAAAAAACUGAGAAGAAAGAGGUUGGUGGGCGAUCACAAAUGCCGGAGGAAGAUUUGACUGAAGUUAAGUUUCGUUUGUUCGAUGGAUCAGAUGUGGGUCCAUUUCAGUUCUCCCCGGCUUCAACCGUAGCUAUGCUGAAAGAGAGAAUUGUUGCUGAGUGGCCUAAAGAUAAGAAAAUUGCACCUAAGGCGGCAAAUGAUGUCAAGUUGAUAAGUGCUGGGAAAAUUUUGGAGAACAACAAGACUGUUGGUCAAUGUAAAACACCUUUCGGUGAACUACCUAAUGGUGUGAUUACCAUGCAUGCUGUUGUACAGCCAUCAGUAGGUAAAUCAAAAUCAGAAAAGAAGAUUGACGAGACUCCGAAGAAAAGUGUGUGCGCGUGUACCAUAAUGUGAGAUUGUAAGUGAUUCAAGUUUAAUCCUGUGGUAUUCUUGGGGGAUAAACUGCUGCUGUGAAGUUCAGGGAAAACAGUAUGAUAGCUCAUUGUUACUUGUUUGUUCGUUGAACGGCUAUUCAAUGUAACAGCGUGUCUAUUUGUUUGAAUGAAUUUGGUAGGUGUACAUUUUGUAAUUGCAGAUUUCUUAUACAGAAAUACAGAAAGUGUGCUGGAUUGCAUGCUAUAGGAUUUUA